rnacentral:rRNA from 1 species
GUGGGGAAUAUUCCGCAAUGGACGAAAGUCUGACGGAGCAACGCCGCGUGAGUGAUGAAGGUUUUCGGACUGUAAAGCUCUGUUGUUUAGGACGAAAGUGCCUGUUGCGAAUAGUUACAGGUAUUGACGGUACUGAACGAGGAAGCCACGGCUAACUACGUGCCAGCAGCCGCGGUAAUACGUAGGUGGCAAGCGUUGUCCGGAAUUAUUGGGCGUAAAGAGCAUGUAGGCGGGAAUCUAAGUCUGUUGUGAAAAUGCGGGGCUCAACCCCGUAUUGCGAUGGAAACUGGGUUUCUUGAGUGCAGGAGAGGAAAGGGGAAUUCCCAGUGUAGCGGUGAAAUGCGUAGAUAUUGGGAGGAACACCAGUGGCGAAGGCGGCUUCCUGGCACAAUACUGACGCUCAUGUGCGAAAGCUAGGGCAGCGAACGGGAUUAGAUACCCCUGUAGUCC